CAUCGGAAUCAGUCUUUAGUACUAGCGGAAGGUUACUAAGUGCACAUCGUAGUCGUCUUACACCAAGCAUAGCUGAAGCUCUUAUGUGUAUGCAAGCUUGGUCACGAGCGGACAUGUUAGGUGAUAUAAACUUUGCUCUGCAAGCAGUUCAAUCUGUUCUUGAGGAUGAGGAAGAAAUAAUGGAUGAAAAUGAGUCCAUCAUUAGUGAAGACUAAUUUGGAGCCAAGUGUGCUGGACAUGGCAUUAAAUUACUGAAGACUAAUUUGGAGCCAUGUAUCCCUACAUGUGGACAUGCGUCUGGGUCUGCCAUUACUAGCAUGCACGUCAUUUAUUUAUUCAACUUCGGUUAUGAUGUUCAAUAAGAUCUUACAACUUUGAUUGUGAUGUAAUAUGAUUUUAAGACAAGAGUUCUACUGGGAGACUAUUUGAGUUGUCAUUGUGAGACUAUUUAAGAGUUGUCAUUAUGAUUUUAA